AGUGAACGCUGGCGGUAGGCCUAACACAUGCAAGUCGAACGGCAGCACAGUAAGAGCUUGCUCUUACGGGUGGCGAGUGGCGGACGGGUGAGGAAUACAUCGGAAUCUACUUUUUCGUGGGGGAUAACGUAGGGAAACUUACGCUAAUACCGCAUACGACCUACGGGUGAAAGCAGGGGAUCUUCGGACCUUGCGCGAUUGAAUGAGCCGAUGUCGGAUUAACUAGUUGGCGGGGUAAAGGCCCACCAAGGCGACGAUCCGUAGCUGGUCUGAGAGGAUGAUCAGCCACACUGGAACUGAGACACGGUCCAGACUCCUACGGGAGGCAGCAGUGGGGAAUAUUGGACAAUGGGCGCAAGCCUGAUCCAGCCAUACCGCGUGGGUGAAGAAGGCCUUCGGGUUGUAAAGCCCUUUUGUUAGGAAAGAAAAGCAGCAGGUUAAUACCCCGCUGUUCUGACGGUACCCAAAGAAUAAGCACCGGCUAACUUCGUG
rnacentral:rRNA from 1 species